rnacentral:tRNA from 2 species
GCCUCGGUAGUUCAACGGAUAGAAUAGAUGUUUCCUAAACAUUAGAUAGGGGUUCGAUUCCCCUCUGAGGUA